GAUGAAGAACGCAGCGAAAUGCGAUAAGUAAUGUGAAUUGCAGAAUUCAGUGAAUCAUCGAAUCUUUGAACGCUCAUUGCGUCCGCCAGUAUUCUGGCGGGCAUGCCUGUUCGAGCGUCAUUACAACCCUCAGGCCCCCGGGCCUGGCGUUGGGGAUCGGCGGAGCCCCCCGUGGGCACACGCCGUCCCCCAAAUGCAGUGGCGGUCCCGCCGCAGCUUCCAUCGCGUAGUAGCUAACACCUCGCGCCUGGAGAGCGGCGCGGCCACGCCGUAAAACACCCAACUCUUCUGAAGUUGACCUCGAAUCAGGUAGGAAUACCCGCUGAACUUAAGCAUAUCAAUAAGCGGAGGA
rnacentral:misc_RNA from 1 species